GUCGGUAUCGAUUAGGGGUUAAAUCACUUCGUUGUGGAUUUCCAAUUCCGAAGAGCCGCUGGUUCGAUUCCAGCUACCGACA
rnacentral:tRNA from 1 species